CUUUGCUAUUCAUACGACAGAACCAUCCAGAGCGGCAAACACUCUCCUCCCCACCACCGCCUCUUCUCGGCAAAAGUUGAUGUCGAAGCUCUUUCCUUUUCCGAAACCCUAGAUUCGAUCUCGCAACUCCGGCCAAAAUUAGAUGUUUCCGACUAAAAACUUGGGCCAAAAAAAACAAGAUUCAUAAUUCAAUUAAUCACCUCGACUCUUCUCUCUCGCGUUCAAACUCGCUCUUCCUCGACUCAACUCUCUCUCUCUUCUCAACCGUCACCACCUCCCUGAGUCAACUCGUUUGGAUCAGCAGCUCUUUAUCUUUCCCAAAUCAUUAGUGUAAACUACUAAUCGAGUUUGGUAAUAAUAAUCUUGCUUAGAGCCAUGUGCUUCUUUUCCUAGAGUGCAUCCUGGGAAUUUAGUGCAUAGAUUCUAUGGAGAGUCUAGCCGCCCAGGUCAGCCAAGAAAACGAGAUACCUCUGAACGCUGGAUUACGCAAUCUUGAUAAGAAGCUUGAAGCAGAAUCUAUAAGCAUCUCCUGUCAUCAUGUUUGGUGGUUCUUACUUAUGGUGGAAUGCUUGCAGCGUGGUUCGUCAGGCUACAGUAUCCGCAUAUUGCAAUUGGCGCAUUAGCAUCCUCUGCUCCAGUUCCGCAGUUUGAUAAGACUGUUCCGUCUUCAAGCUUCUACGACACCGUUUCUCAGGAUUUCGAGGUCUGUAUAUUUCUUGUUUAAAUCAAAGAGUUGUGAUUGCGGUAAAGAUGCUUGUGAGAGAUAAUAAGCUAUGUAUUCUUGUGCCAUUAUAGUAUCUUUUGCAUUCAUAUAUAGUUUUAUGGGUUUUUCGAGUGAAACUUUGUGAAGAAGGGAUUGAUCACACCAAUUUUUGCAAGAUCGAUCUAGGACAUUGCACCGACCCGAUAUUGGUAGGAUGUGCGGGGCCUCAUCAUAUGUCUACCAGUUUUACACCGCUCUCAAGGUUGAAAGGAAGAUCAUACUCCCAAAGCAAGAUAUCACAUCCAUUCGUUCAAGGGACAACAUCAUCUUCAUUCCUAGUGAGGAGUCGCUCUACAACGCAUGUACCGACCCACCCAUCGUAGCCCGUUACAAAGCACAACGACAAAAGGAGAAAGCAACCGCUAAUCCAUCUCAUCAAGACACAUCUCAAACGGGUCCAUCUCAUGAGGGUGAGCCUCCUCGAGAUCCUUCCGCCUGUGGAAAUGAACGUUUUUGUUUCCAACCCUUUGAGGGUUCAUUCACUUCAAACGCUCUUCGCCUGGCGCAUAAACAUAACAAGCUGCUUCUACAAUGGAACAAGGUGCUAGAUGAAACCAUCAAGGAAUACAAGAAGGAGGUUGAGAGCUUGAGAGAAAGGGUGAAGCGACUGGAGGAGCGAAUUCCAGAAGGCUAGUCCCUCCAAAGCCAGAUCCAAGAAAACAACACACACAAAGGAAGGGAAAAUGAGAAAGCUUUUUAACACUUGUGACGGUUAUAAUUAUUGUGACCAGUAAUGGGAGUCCAUGCAUGGGGAGGAUGUGACUAGGAACUAAUUGUUUUUGUUUACUUGAAGAGAGUUAAGUUAUAGUCUAGUGUCGAGCAUGCCCAUGUAGUAGUAGGUGGAGUGAUUAUGUAGUAGUUGGUAAAAAUCAGAGAGUGGUUCCUUAACAACUACUGUACACUCAACUAGACGCACACUAAUACUAGUUCCUUGAAUCUUCCAUUGUU